rnacentral:rRNA from 1 species
UACGUAGGUGGCAAGCGUUAUCCGGAAUGAUUGGGCGUAAAGCGUCCGCAGGUGGCUGUGUAAGUCUGCUGUUAAAGAGUGAGGCUCAACCUCAUAAGAGCAGUGGAAACUACACAGCUAGAGUGCGUUCGGGGCAGAGGGAAUUCCUGGUGUAGCGGUGAAAUGCGUAGAGAUCAGGAAGAACACCGGUGGCGAAGGCGCUCUGCUAGGCCGCAACUGACACUGAGGGACGAAAGCUAGGGGAGCGAAUGGG